rnacentral:rRNA from 1 species
CCUACGGGAGGCAGCAGUGGGGAAUAUUGCGCAAUGGGCGAAAGCCUGACGCAGCGACGCCGCGUGAGGGAUGAAGGUCUUCGGAUCGUAAACCUCUGUCAGCAGGGAAGAACGGUCACUGUGUUAAUCAGCAGUGAAUUGACGGUACCUGCAAAGGAAGCACUGGCUAACUCCGUGCCAGCAGCCGGGGUAAUACGGAGGGUGCGAGCGUUAAUCGGAAUUACUGGGCGUAAAGCGCUCGUAGGCGGUAUGUCAAGUCAAGGGUGAAAUCCCCGCGCUCAACGUGGGAACUGCCUUUGAAACGGGAAAACUGGAGUGUGUGAGAGGAUAGUGGAAUUCCAGGUGUAGGAGUGGAAUCCGUAGAUAUCAGGAGGAACAUCAGAGGCGAAGGCGACUAUCUGGCACAUAACUGACGCUGAGGAGCGAAAGCGUGGGUAGCAAACAGGAUUAGAUACCCCUGUAGUC